rnacentral:rRNA from 1 species
UACGCACGCUGGCGGCGCGCCUAACACAUGCAAGUCGAACGAGCGAGAGAGAGCUUGCUUUCUCGAGCGAGUGGCGAACGGGUGAGUAACGCGUGAGGAACCUGCCUCAAAGAGGGGGACAACAGUUGGAAACGACUGCUAAUACCGCAUAAGCCCACGGCUCGGCAUCGAGCAGGGGGAAAAGGAGCAAUCCGCUUUGAGAUGGCCUCGCGUCCGAUUAGCUAGUUGGUGGGGUAACGGCCCACCAAGGCGACGAUCGGUAGCCGGACUGAGAGGUUGAACGGCCACAUUGGGACUGAGACACGGCCCAGACUCCUACGGGAGGCAGCAGUGGGGAAUAUUGCACAAUGGGGGAAACCCUGAUGCAGCGACGCCGCGUGGAGGAAGAAGGUCUUCGGAUUGUAAACUCCUGUUGUUGGGGAAGAUAAUGACGGUACCCAACAAGGAAGUGACGGCUAACUACGUG